rnacentral:sRNA from 1 species
GAAGGAGUGGAGGCCCUGGUGCUCUGCCCUUGGUGCUGAGUAUCCAGCAAGAGUGACUGGGGUGAAGAAGCAAAGACUCGGUUGAUUGUCCUGGGCUGUGGCUGGCUGUGGAGCUAGAGCCCUGGAUGGCCCCUGAGCCAGCCCCAGGGAGGACGAUGGUGCCCCUUGUGCCUGCACUGGUGAUGCUUGGUUUGGUGGCAGGCGCCCAUGGUGACAGCAAACCUGUCUUCAUUAAAGUCCCCGAGGACCAGACUGGGCUGUCGGGAGGGGUAGCCUCCUUCGUGUGCCAAGCCACAGGAGAACCCAAGCCACGCAUCACAUGGAUGAAGAAGGGGAAGAAAGUCAGCUCCCAGCGCUUCGAGGUCAUUGAGUUUGAUGAUGGGGCAGGGUCAGUGCUUCGGAUCCAGCCAUUGCGGGUGCAGCGAGAUGAAGCCAUCUAUGAGUGUACAGCCACUAACAGCCUGGGUGAGAUCAACACUAGUGCCAAGCUCUCAGUGCUCGAAGAGGAACAGCUGCCCCCUGGGUUCCCUUCCAUCGACAUGGGGCCUCAGCUGAAGGUGGUGGAGAAGGCACGCACAGCCACCAUGCUAUGUGCCGCAGGCGGAAAUCCAGACCCUGAGAUUUCUUGGUUCAAGGACUUCCUUCCUGUAGACCCUGCCGCGAGCAACGGCCGCAUCAAGCAGCUGCGUUCAGGUGCCUUGCAGAUAGAGAGCAGUGAGGAAUCCGACCAAGGCAAGUACGAGUGUGUGGCGACCAACUCGGCAGGCACACGUUACUCAGCCCCUGCGAACCUGUAUGUGCGAGGUAAGGACUCAGGCAGUGCCUGGCCCCUGUCACCACAGAGCUGUGCUGCACCUGCCGGGCUCUCUGCCCAGAGCCCUUGGUGCAGACACGCAAGGGACUGCCAUGGGCCCAGUCUCUUCUCCUUCCUGCUUCUUUCUGCAGCAGCAGCAACAGCUCCCACUGGGCAAGUUCCUGGCGUCUGCCACUACUUCGCCUUCCUUCCUUGCAGGCCCAUGGGGAAGCAGCCACUCUUGGGAGCAUUUGUAUCUUUUGUAGGUCUUGCCGCAUGGGCCCGGAGCCUCAUGGGAAUUUGGAGCCAUCCAAUCCGACUUCUUGGUGUAUGUGCAUGUGUGUGUGCACACACGGGCACACUUAUCUGUGUGUAAAUGCAUGCAUACCUGGCCUGGCUUUCCUUCAGUACAUCCUCCUGCCUGCCGCAGCAUGGUGGGCUCCAGAACCACCAUGGCUCUGGGCUUUGGGGUAGUAAGGCCUCAGGAACGGACCAGGCCAGGUGAGCCUAUCCUCUGGCCAGGUCUGCCUGGAGCCUUCCUGGAGGAACCCUUGUGUUCAGCUGUGAGCCCCUGUGGUUAUGUUGCCUCGGGUGAGCACCUGGUGUGUUCCAGAUGUUCUUUGCUGGGAACGAGUGGACAGUGUGCUUUCUGGAAGUCCAAGUUCCCAGCAGAGAGGAACCUGGGGACUGUUUUGGGGUUUCCAAUCUCUGCUAUGCUCACAGCCUAGGGGUGACUAAAGCUGGCCACCUUGCCCUUUCCUGAGAACACACUGGGUCUGGUAUACAUGUGCCCAGAAGGGGCCCUGAGAGCCCCUUCUACCCUCAUACUGUCCCCUCACCUAGCCUUCUUGUACAGAUGGAUGUCAUUAAAAGUUAAACUGUUGGCCGGGUGUGGUGGCUCACGCCUGUAAUCCCAGCACUUUGGGAGGCUGAGGCAGGCAGAUCACGAGGUCAGGAGAUCGAGACCAUCCUGGCCAACAUGGUGAAACCUCGUCUCUACUAAAACUACAAAAAUUAGCUGGGCGUGGUGGCGCGUGCCUGUAAUCCCAGCUACUCAGGAGGCUGAGGCAGGAAAAUCGCUUGAACCAGAGGUUGCAGUGAGCCAAGGUCGCGCCACUGCACUCCAGCUUGGUGAAAGAGCAAGACUCCAUCUCAAAAAAAAAAAAAA